rnacentral:rRNA from 1 species
GUAGGGAAUAUUGCGCAAUGGACGAAAGUCUGACGCAGCGACGCCGCGUGAGUGAUGAAGGCCUUAGGGUCGUAAAGCUCUGUUGAAUGGGAAGAAAAAAAUGACGGUACCAUUCGAGGAAGGACCGGCUAACUUCGUGCCAGCAGCCGCGGUAAUACGAGGGGUCCUAGCGUUGUUCGGAAUCAUUGGGCGUAAAGGGUGUGUAGGUGGCCAUGUAAGUCAGGUGUGAAAGCCCCGGGCUCAACCCGGGAAGUGCACUUGAUACUGCGUGGCUUGAGUACCGAAGAGGGUAGUGGAAUUCCAGGUGUAGUGGUGAAAUACGUAGAUAUCUGGAGGAAGACCGGUGGCGAAGGCGGCUACCUGGUCGAGUACUGACACUGAGACACGAAAGCAUGGGGAUCAAACAGGAUUAGAUACCCCGGUAGUCC